CCCCAAGUGGCUCAGUGGUCAAGAAUCUGCCUGGCAAGCAGGAAACGCAGGUUCAAUCCCUGGGUUGGGCA
rnacentral:tRNA from 1 species